CCUACGGGAGGCAGCAGUGAGGAAUAUUGGUCAAUGGACGAGAGUCUGAACCAGCCAAGUAGCGUGAAGGAUGACUGCCCUAUGGGUUGUAAACUUCUUUUAUAUGGGAAUAAAAUGUUCCACGUGUGGGAUUUUGUAUGUACCAUAUGAAUAAGGAUCGGCUAACUCCGUGCCAGCAGCCGCGGUAAUACGGCGGAUCCGAGCGUUAUCCGGAUUUAUUGGGUUUAAAGGGAGCGUAGGUGGAUUGUUAAGUCAGUUGUGAAAGUUUGCGGCUCAACCGUAAAAUUGCAGUUGAAACUGGCAGUCUUGAGUACAGUAGAGGUGGGCGGAAGUCGUGGUGUAGCGGUGAAAUGCUUAGAUAUCACGAAGAACUCCGAUUGCGAAGGCAGCGCACUGGACUGCAACUGACACUGAGGCUCGAAAGUGUGGGUAGCAAACAGGAUUAGAUACCCUUGUAGUC
rnacentral:rRNA from 1 species